CGGAACUUGAGACCGGCGCACGGGUGCGUAACGCGUAUGCAAUCUACCUUAUACAGGGGAAUAGCCCAGAGAAAUUUGGAUUAAUGCCCCAUAGUGUUAUAGAAUCGCGUGGUUUUAUAACUAAAGUUCCAACGGUAUAAGAUGAGCAUGCGUCCCAUUAGUUGGUUGGUAAGGUAACGGCUUACCAAGACAAUGAUGGGUAGGGGUCCUGAGAGGGAGAUCCCCCACACUGGUACUGAGACACGGACCAGACUCCUACGGGAGGCAGCAGUGAGGAAUAUUGGUCAAUGGGCGCAAGCCUGAACCAGCCAUGCCGCGUGCAGGAAGACGGUCCUAUGGAUUGUAAACUGCUUUUAUACAGGAAGAAACCUCCCUACGUGUAGGGACUUGACGGUACUGUAGGAAUAAGGAUCGGCUAACUCCGUGCCAGCAGCCGCGGUAAUACGGAGGAUCCAAGCGUUAUCCGGAAUCAUUGGGUUUAAAGGGUCCGUAGGCGGCCUUAUAAGUCAGUGGUGAAAUCUCCUAGCUCAACUAGGAAACUGCCAUUGAUACUGUAGGGCUUGAAUUUUUGUGAAGUAACUAGAAUAUGUAGUGUAGCGGUGAAAUGCUUAGAUAUUACAUGGAAUACCAAUUGCGAAGGCAGGUUACUAACAAACGAUUGACGCUGAUGGACGAAAGCGUGGGGAGCGAACAGGAUUAG
rnacentral:rRNA from 1 species